UCGUCUUGCCUAUGGAUUUACAGUACAGGAUGACAGUUAAUUCAGUUAAAAUGAGAAGUUUUUAUAAGCUCUAGCAUUAAUAAGUUCUUACAGAGUCGGGUGAGCUUUUGCUUGAGGUCUAAAUCAUCGCAGCUCGUAUCCUUGAAAUAGCCAUCGACCAGGCAGUCUUGAGGGACAAGUUGGGGAGGAAAGGCCUUCCCAAGUGCCAAGAUCGUAGCUCUACCAGAGUUGGCCUUUCCCUUUUUGCAGGGACAAGAAAGCUAUUAAUAAAGUGACACUACCUGUUCAUCACCUAGAAAGGCAGUUUGAAUGCUCAAAGUCUACAAUGGAAGGCAUGUGAUUUGAAAAUAAGGAACUUUGAACAUAUCUGCAACGUAGGCAACUGCUGCUCCCUGAAAUUCAAAAUCAAAGAGUUAAGAGACUUUGAUGGAAUUUGGAAGUGAAAGAAAUUCAUGCCAGUGUCAAUCAGCCUUUGUUAACUCCAGGUUCAUCAUCGACGUGAAAGCUAUUCGAAACGGGAACUUCAAAUACGUUUCAAAGAAAACUAGGAGCCCUUACAUCACAUUGAAGGUCAGAAGUGACUACCUAAUAACAUCGCAGUACCAAAACAAACUAAUGCUGUGGAUUAUCCAACUUAGAGAGAAUAAAUAUACCAUAAUGUUAACUCUAUUUAAUUCUUUGUGAAAGAA